AGUUGUUGCGGUUAAAAGCCCGUAGUUGGAGUUCUGCCAGGUGACGCCCCUCCGCCCAAGUGGUGUGUACAGGGCGUGCAUCUGGCCCCUUCAAGGGGAACGUGUUGCACUUUAUUGUGUGGCGCGAGAUCCUUGACUUUUACUUUGGGGAAAUAAGAGUGUUCCAAGCAGGCUCUCGUCGUGCAUAGCUCAGCAUGGAAUAAUAGCAUUGGACUUCGUUUCUACGCUGUUGGUUGCAAGAAGCGAGGUAAUGAUGAAGAGGGAUAGUUGGGGGCAUUCGUAUUUAACUGUCAGAGGUGAAAUUUUUUUUUUUGUUAAAGACGGACUACUGCGAAAGCAUCUGCCAUGGAUGUUUUCAUUGAUCAAGAACGAAAGUUAGGGGAUCGAAGACGAUCAGAUACCGUCCUAGUCUUAACUAUAAACCAUGCCGGCUAGAGAUCGGAGGUCGUUCAAUUUGUGACACCUUCAGCAUCUUGAGAGAAAUCAAAGCCUUUGGGUUCCGGGGGGAGUAUGGU
rnacentral:rRNA from 1 species